AAUUGACCAAUCACUAAAAAUGAUUUAAAAAAGGGAAGAUAUCGAAAUGGAAUGCGUAUGCGCAGAUCAGUUAUUUUAGUUUCGCGCGUUCGGUCGAAAAUAUGACGCUAUUGUAUUCGAUAUUAUAAUGCAGUCGUGUAAUUCAAUUGCGUAAUUCAAUUCCGUGAAUAUUCGCAAUUGUCGAGUGUUUUCCGCAAAGACAUUAAUGAGUAUAAGCAUUUUUCGUCGAAUUUAAGUUUGUGAGAAGUGAUAUUUUAUAUAUUGUUAAGGCUAUGUAGUUAUCAGAUUUGCCAGAAUGAUUUGUUUUGAAUUUGAUCAACUUCUGAACGGCUCAUUUAUGCAGAUUAUAUGCAGAUUACUCGGAGAUACGUGUUCCGUUACGUGGAAUCUUGCUGCGAUUGAGUAGCGAGACAAGAGGAAGAAGGAGAGAUGGCUGGUCAUUGAUCGCGUGAUCACGUUACCGAAAAUUGAAUGGCGAUGAAGCGUGACAGCAUUCGCGUGGGGUGAGUCA